rnacentral:lncRNA from 1 species
ACACACCGUCUGGGAAUCCAACCUUACUACCACUUCGUUUUCCUGCCUCACGUCAUUAAACUUGCAUUCCAAAUAUUCUGUCUUGCUCCUGCUCAACCUGAACCCUUUAGACUCAAGAGUUCGUCUCUACACUUCUAAUUUAUCAUUCACCCCCAGCGUCUUAUCAAUCAAAACUACAUCAUCUGCAAAAAGCAUACACCAAGGCACCUCUCCUUGAAUACGCCGCGUCAACACAUCCAUCACCAAAACAAACAAAAACGGGCUAAGAGUGGAACCCU